AGAGUUUGAUCCUGGCUCAGAUUGAACGCUAGCGGCAGGCUUAAUACAUGCAAGUCGAGGGGCAGCACGGUUAGCAAUAACUGGUGGCGACCGGCGCACGGGUGCGUAACACGUAUACAAUCUACCUUAAACAGGGGGAUAGCCUUUCGAAAGAGAGAUUAAUACCCCGUAAUAAAUUGAACGGCAUCGUUUGAUUUUGAAAGCUCCGGCGGUUUGAGAUGAGUAUGCGUCUGAUUAGCUAGUUGGUGAGGUAACGGCUCACCAAGGCGACGAUCAGUAGGGGACCUGAGAGGACUAACCCCCCACACUGGUACUGAGACACGGACCAGACUCCUACGGGAGGCAGCAGUAAGGAAUAUUGGUCAAUGGAGGCAACUCUGAACCAGCCAUGCCGCGUGCAGGAUGACGGCCCUAUGGGUUGUAAACUGCUUUUAUACAAGAGAAAACCCUGGUACGUGUACCAAGUUGAUAGUAUUGUAAGAAUAAGCAUCGGCUAACUUCGUG
rnacentral:rRNA from 1 species